rnacentral:ncRNA from 2 species
AAUUAUCUUUGAUCAAUUGGUUCCCCGGUUGCGAGGCGCUUUCGGGGAGUAAAUGGGAACGUGACGGGUGGACCCAUUCUGGGCACUUUCAUCACGGCCGACCCCGCGACUGUAGAGCGGUCAGCGUUUUUCGUUCCGGAUGAUCGCAUCCGGGAAAAGCCACUGAGGCAAGGACACCGCGAGAUUGCGGCGAUCCGAGACUUGGGAAGGCGAGAGAAACGUCUUGGUGUGCAAGCACCUGACGCCGCGAGCCAGGAAACCUGCCGGUUGAUGAGGGGCAUU